rnacentral:rRNA from 1 species
UACGAAGGGGGCUAGCGUUGCUCGGAAUCACUGGGCGUAAAGGGUGCGUAGGCGGGUCUUUAAGUCAGGGGUGAAAUCCUGGAGCUCAACUCCAGAACUGCCUUUGAUACUGAGGAUCUUGAGUUCGGGAGAGGUGAGUGGAACUGCGAGUGUAGAGGUGAAAUUCGUAGAUAUUCGCAAGAACACCAGUGGCGAAGGCGGCUCUCUGGAACGGUACUGACGCUGAGACGCGAAAGCGUGGGGAGCGAACAGG